rnacentral:misc_RNA from 1 species
GGAAGUAAAAGUCAACAAGGUUUCCGUAGGUGAACCUGCGGAAGGAUCAUUAAAGAACGCCCCGUUUUUUGAAAUGGGUAAUUCUAAACCGUGUAUACAUACCUUUGUUGCUUUGGCAGGCCGCCCCUCAGGGCGUCGGCUCCGGCUGACUGCGCCUGCCAGAGGACCCAAACUCUUUUGUUUAGUGAUGUCUGAGUACUAUAUAAUAGUUAAAACUUUCAACAACGGAUCUCUUGGUUCUG